rnacentral:rRNA from 1 species
UACAGAGGUCCCGAGCGUUGUUCGGAUUCAUUGGGCGGAAAGGGUGCGUAGGCGGUCUGCUAAGUUUGAUGUGAAAUCCCGGGGCUCAACCCUGGAAUGGCAUUGAAUACUGGCGGACUAGAGUACCGGAGAGGAAACUGGAAUUUACGGUGUAGCAGUGAAAUGCGUAGAGAUCGUAAGGAAGACCAGUGGCGAAGGCGAGUUUCUGGACGGUAACUGACGCUGAGGCACGAAGGCCAGGGGAGCAAACGGG